rnacentral:rRNA from 1 species
UACGUAGGGCGCAAGCGUUAUCCGGAAUUAUUGGGCGUAAGGAGCUCGUAGGCGGUUUGUCGCGUCUGCUGUGAAAACGCGAGGCUUAACCUCGCGCCUGCAGUGGGUACGGGCAGACUAGAGUGCGGUAGGGGAGACUGGAAUUCCUGGUGUAGCGGUGGAAUGCGCAGAUAUCAGGAAGAACACCUAUGGCGGAAGCAGCUCUCUGGGACGGUACUGACGCUGAGACGCGAAAGCGUGGGGAGCGAACAGG